rnacentral:lncRNA from 1 species
ACAAACUAAAGGACUUGUGACCUUUUAUUAUACCCUAAUUCCCUUUAGGGGGUCAUUCAGUCUGGUCCUCAUCCUGUGUAUAUGCAUGUUGUCAUUGUUCAUGUCCCACUCCACAAAUCACUUGGAUAUGAACUCUUAUAAGUAUUCAUGCUCCAUCAACUACCCCUGAAAUUUAAGUAUUAAAGCAGAAAAAUAUUCAACAUAGAAGAACAAAAUCAUAUGCAUGAAGAGAUUUUCAGCAGGCACUUUACUCUGCAUAAGGUUGUGAAGAGCGUGCUAGAUAAGUGAAAGGAUCAUUGUUUUUAAAAACUUUUUAAAGUUUCUUUAAAAUAGACAGUUUAAUCUCAUACUAUCAAAUAAAAGUCCGGGUUAUACUUACAUAUAGAUUUUUGAUUUAACAAAGUUCCAAUCUAAGGUUUAAAGGUUUGAAAAAACCAAAAGGUUUCUUUAAAUCCACUUAGUUUAAAUAUCAUAUUUAAACUAAAAGAAACAAAUAACGUUCAUAUAUAAUUAAGUUUACCUGUCAUUAGAGUCUUUGUUCCUCUCAUAGCUUAAUUGAUAAGACCACCUAAACCAUGCAGCCUAAAAAGGAAAGUGCAGAAGAUGUUAAAAAGGGAAGUGCAAUACUUGUAUCCAAAGGUUUUCAAGUGAGAAACAUACAACAUGAAAAAAAUACAACAGAGAAAAGAGA